AAAUGAGACUAUUGCAUUCCGGAAAUGAAGGGGGCGCUAUUUUCAUAAUCACUAGUAUAAAUGCCUUAAAGACGCGGGGUUAAGAGGAAAGGAAGAAGAAAGAAAGAAGUUUGAAAAGUUUUUGCACUGGUGUUCGGCACACGAUCCAUAAUGCAAAACCCACAAAAUCAACAAAAGGUCCAGAGAAGAACUACAAAAGGAGAGAAAGCGGAAAAAAGUUGAUGAGAGGGCAAAAAGUGAGACUCUGUGUGCUGAUGACCACACCUAUGCCAAAGGAGCCGAGGCACAAAUUGAGGUAGAAAGGAUACCGCCAAUCUUACAGAUGCAGAGGAGAGGAGAGUACCCUCGUUACUACUGUGAUGGCAUACCUGGACUUUGCCCUGAGUGCCAACAUUGAAUUCAAAGAAAAUAUAAGUUGCUUUCCACAAUCUGUCACAUAUUGUUAGUUUUUUUUUGUGACAUGCCAUUUGAAAUCGUUUCUGAUAAAGAAUAUUUACCUUUUGA